GGAGGUGACGUGGUCACCAAUUCCAAUUAUUUUUGCUUGCAGGAUUGUCUCUCUUGAAGAGUAAAGUAAUAUAUUGACUGGAAUGGUUGAUUUUGAAUCUUUUAUAUUGAUUUUAAGGUGAAUAAUUUGUUGAAACUGUUUGUGAUUGAGAAUUGAAAGUGUUUGAAUGAUAAUAUAAAUGAGUUGAGCUAUUCUUUUGAAUAUUUUGGUUGAAUUACUUAAGUGAGAUGUUUGAUGAGAAGUGGUUGUGUGAUUUCAGAUGAUGGUUGAUUUAAAGAGCAUAUAUUUGGAAUUAAUUAUGUGUUUUAAGUAAAGUUUGAGAUAUAUUUGGAUUGUUUAGAAAGUUUAUAUAUGAAGUGAUUGAGUGGUGCAUUGAUAUGUUAAAUGAUGUAUGUAAUGAGGUUAAAGUGUGAUCAAGACGUAGUAUUUUCAGGAAAGGAAAUACCAUGUUGAGAUUGUUAUUANNN
rnacentral:lncRNA from 1 species